rnacentral:lncRNA from 1 species
CUCCUCCAUUGUUGGUGGGAUUGCAGACUGGUACAACCAUUCUAGAAAUCAGUCUGGAGGUUCCUCAGAAAAUUGGACAUUGAACUACCUGAGGACCCAGCUAUACCUCUCUUGGGCAUAUACCCAAAAGAUGCCCCAACAUAUAACAAAGACACAUGCUCCACUAUGUUCAUAGCAGCCUUAUUUAUAAUAGCCAGAAGCUGGAAAGAACCCAGAUGCCCUUCAACAGAGGAAUGGAUACAGAAAAUGUGGUACAUCUACACAAUGGAAUAUUACUCAGCUAUCAAAAACAAUGACUUUAUGAAAUUCGUAGGCAAAUGGUUGGAACUGGAAAAUAUCAUCCUGAGUGAGGUAACCCAAUCACAGAAAAACACACAUGGUAUGCACUCAUUGAUAAGUGGCUAUUAGCCCAAAUGCU